AUUGAACGCUGGCGGCAUGCCUUACACGUGCAAGUCGAACGGCAGCACGGGUGCUUGCACCUGGUGGCGAGUGGCGAACGGGUGAGUAAUACAUCGGAACGUACCUUAUCGUGGGGGAUAACGCAGCGAAAGCUGUGCUAAUACCGCAUACGCCCUGAGGGGGAAAGCGGGGGAUCGAAAGACCUCGCGCGAUUAGGGCGGCCGAUGCCUGAUUAGCUUGUUGGUGGGGUAAAAGCCCACCAAGGCGACGAUCAGUAGCUGGUCUGAGAGGACGAUCAGCCACACUGGGACUGAGACACGGCCCAGACUCCUACGGGAGGCAGCAGUGGGGAAUUUUGGACAAUGGGGGCAACCCUGAUCCAGCAAUGCCGCGUGAGUGAAGAAGGCCUUCGGGCUGUAAAGCUCUGUUGUCAGGGAAGAAACACCGGCUCUAACACAGUCCGGGAAUGACGGUACCUGAAGAAUAAGUACCGGCUAACUACGUGCCAGCCGCCGCAGUAA
rnacentral:rRNA from 1 species